rnacentral:rRNA from 1 species
UACGGAGGGUGCAAGCGUUUAUCCGGAUUCACUGGGUUUAAAGGGUGCGUAGGAGGGCAGGUAAGUCAGUGGUGAAAUCUUCGAGCUUAACUCGGAACUGCCGUUGAUACUAUCUGUCUUGAAUACCGUGGAGGUGAGCGGAAUAUGUCAUGUAGCGGUGAAAUGCUUAGAUAUGACAUAGAACACCAAUUGCGAAGGCAGCUGGCUACACAAAUAUUGACACUGAGGCACGAAAGCGUGGGGAGCAAACAGG